rnacentral:pre_miRNA from 14 species
AAACCCUGCCCGUAACCUAGUUGAUGUUCAUCGCAGUGAUAUGACGCAUCAGUACAUUCCUUAUCACCGGGUGUACAUCAGCUAGGGUGCGGGUUCAGGUU